AAAAAAAAAAAAAAAAAAAAAAAAAAAUCAAAAACUUAGCAAUUUGCAUCUUCACGGAUCUCAUUUCAAAGAUUUUCGAGCCACUGCAUUUAAAGUUUGAGCUUUUUUUCUCUCUUUCUCAUCUGUUUUAAUGAUUGAAAGGCAAUUUCAAGAACAGAGUAUUAGAGAAAUUUCAAGCAUAGUGUAGAUAUGGAUGUCAACAAAACUAAAGAUUUACGUGCAUGCAGCCGGAAAGUCGCCUCUGUUGUAGAACACAGAGUUCGUUUAUCCUGGUGGGAAGUGCCUGAUGCUGUCCUCGAGCGGUUACAUGGAACCGGUUUUGAAAAUUUAGCUAAGCUUAUUAAUUUCGAAGCAUUCAACCCGUUAAGCAGUCUGGCAACUGCGUUGGUUCAACUGUAUGAUGUUGAUAAAAGAUGUUUUGUGUUCAACGGUUUGGAGUUAUUUUUUGGUUUAGAAGAUGUACUGAAGAUAUUCGGGUUACCUAUAGAUGGUAAACCGUUAUCAGAAAUGAUGGAAGUGAUGAAGAGUUUGUGGAAAAAUAUUUAGGAGUGACAAUAGAAGACGGUAUAGAGCUUAUGACUGGAGGGAUUCGUCCUAUAACCCUUAAGACAAAAUUCCAAAACUCUGAUUAUCCGAGUAUUCAAUAUAUUAGAGCGUAUGUACUGUCCAUAAUAGGUUGUUUAAUAGCUCCUGGAAACUACACUGUUCCUGGACAUUAUUUGGCUUUGUUAGAAGAUGUUGAUAAAAUCAAAGACUAUGCGUCGGGAGCAGCCAUGCUAACAAACCUCCACAGGGGUCUUGAAUCUGCCAAAAAAAGCAGUACGCCAAGUCUUGGACACAGUCUUUUUCUGAUGAUAUUUAUAUUAGAGCACAUUCUGAAAGUUGUUAGAAAGCUCAAUAUAGACACUAGUAAGGUGCCAUCAGCAAGCUUUCCCUUGGUGCUAAGGUGGUUUGAUCAGCUGACAGAACUGUCCGAGAAUCACUCCACCAUG